GAUUCUGCCAGUAGUCAUAUGCUUGUCUCAAAGAUUAAGCCAUGCAUGUUCCAGCAUAAACUUCUUCACGGUGAAGCUGCGAAAAGCUCAUUAAAACAGUUACAGUUUAUUUGAUGGUUGUUCCCUACAUGGAUAACUGUGGUAAUUCUAGAGCUAAUACACGCUUCCAAACCCGACUGUCUCGACGGAAGGGUUGUGUUUAUUAGUUACAGAACCAACCCAAGUCUUCGACUUGGUCCUUUGGUGAUUCAUGAUAACCGUACGAAUCGCAUGAUCUCAAUCGGCGAUAGAUCAUUCAAGUUUCUGACCUAUCAGCUUCCGACGGUAGGGUAUUGGCCUACCGUGGCACUGACGGGUAACGGAGAAUUAGGGUUCGAUUCCGGAGAGGCAGCCUGAGAAACGGCUACCACAUCUAAGGAAGGCAGCAGGCGCGUAAAUUACCCAAUCCUGACGCAGGGAGGUAGUGACAAGAAAUAACAAUACAGUGCAUCCAUGUUCUGUAAUUGGAAUGAAUAGAAUUUAAAUCUCUUUGUGAGUAUCAAUUGGAGGGCAAGUCUGGUGCCAGCAGCCGCGGUAAUUCCAGCUCCAAUAGCGUAUAUUAAAGCUGUUGCGGUUAAAAAGCUCGUAGUUGGAUUUCUGCCGGAGACGACCGGUCCGCCCACUGGGUGUGCAUCUGGUUCGGCUUGGGCAUCUUCUCGAAGAACGUCUUCUGCACUUCAUUGUGUGGGGCGGGAUUCGAGACCUUUACUUUGAGGAAAUUAGAGUGUUUCAAGCAGGCCGACGCCUUGAAUACAUUAGCAUGGAAUAAUAAGAUAGGACCUUGAUUCUAUUUUGUUGGUUUCUAGAAGCAAGGUAAUGAUUAAUAGGGAUAGUUGGGGGCAUUCGUAUUUAACUGUCAGAGGUGAAAUUCUUGGA
rnacentral:rRNA from 1 species